rnacentral:rRNA from 1 species
CGAACGGGUGAGUAAUACAUCGGAACGUGCCCAGUAGUGGGGGAGUAGCCCGGCGAAAGCCGGAUUAAUACCGCAUACGACCUACGGGUGAAAGCGGGGGAUCGCAAGACCUCGCGCUAUUGGAGCGGCCGAUGUCGGAUUAGCUUGUUGGUGAGGUAAAAGCUCACCAAGGCGACGAUCCGUAGCUGGUCUGAGAGGACGACCAGCCACACUGGGACUGAGACACGGCCCAG